GAUUAAGAACGUAGCGAAAUGCGAUAAGUAGUGUGAAUUGCAGAAUUCAGUGAAUCAUCGAAUCUUUGAACGCACAUUGCGCCCCUUGGUAUUCCGAGGGGCAUGCCUGUUCGAGCGUCAUUAUAACCCCUCAAGCUCAGCUUGGUGUUGGGGCCUGCUGCACUGGCAGCCCUUAAAAUCAGUGGCGGCGCCAUCUGGCUCUAAGCGUAGUAAUUCUUCUCGCUAUGGAGUCCUGGUGGAUGCUUGCCAUCAACCCCCAAUUUUUCUAUGGUUGACCUCGGAUCAGGUAGGGAUACCCGCUGAACUUAAGCAUAUCAAUAAGCGGAGGA
rnacentral:misc_RNA from 1 species